CGUGUAGGCGGUUUGUACAGUCAGAUGUGAAAUCCCCGGGCUUAACCUGGGAGCUGCAUUUGAGACGUGCAGACUAGAGUGUGAGAGAGGGUUGUGGAAUUCCCAGUGUAGAGGUGAAAUUCGUAGAUAUUGGGAAGAACACCGGUGGCGAAGGUGGCAACCUGGCUCAUUACUGACGCUGAGGCGCGAAAGCGUGGGAGCAAACA
rnacentral:rRNA from 1 species